CAACAACGGAAAGGAUGGCGACCGCCCGAUUCAAACCGCUAAGUAUUGAGAGGGACCUUGCAAGGACCGCAGUGACAAGGAAUUCCGCCACGUGGGCGACUCGCCAAAUGACAGAGAGCGCUGAUAUUGAAUUAUCCAGAGUAGAAAAUCUUCGGACGUUGGGACAGGAAAGGUAAGCGCACGUCUUUCAACCUUGAACGCUUAAAUUGGAGCCUCGCUGAAACCCCGGCCAUUUGAUUAAGUCACAUCCACUAGGAAGUAAGUACGUUUAACUAGACCAGAACAUCACUGGAGAAAUUUUGAAAAAAAAAAAAGAAAGAAAGAAAGAAAAAAAAACAAACCUGAAUUCAACACAAACGAACUUUGGUGAGCUACCAGCUAGCCGCCUGCAAAAAAGCGACUUACUCGAAAAGUACUGUGCUGAAGAGAAAGCAGA
rnacentral:sRNA from 2 species